rfam:Planktotalea frisia strain SH6-1 PFRI_contig000101, whole genome shotgun sequence.
AAAAAGAGGCGUGGCGAUUUGAUACCGGAUUGUGGGCCACGUUAAAUAUGCCGCUAAAAGGUCAAUGCUCGGGACCC